rnacentral:tRNA from 1 species
UGGAAUAUAGUUCAGCAGUAGAGGGCUUGCUUAGCAUGCGUGAAGUCCUGAGUUCAAAUCUCAGUAAUACAC